GAGGGAGCGUGUUGGAACAAACCGGAGACCAGACCACUUAUAGCUGUAGGGAAGGGGCAGGUGUGUCUCAGGAUAUGCAAGUGCUGGCUGUUAGAGCCCCUUAAACAUAAUGUCACAACUCUUCAGGUGAGCAACUCAGUUGACAACCCACCUGGUUUCCCUCUGUGCUUUGGUGGACAGUAAACUUAGGGCUACGCUUUGCUAAGUGAAAGUACCCA
rnacentral:lncRNA from 1 species